AGAUUCGAAUAAAGGAUAUUUUGAACGAGUGUUCUUUUAUAUUUGUAAGCAAAUUGACAUUUAAAUAUUUAUCAUUUAUUCAUAUACGUGACCUUUAACAUUACUUUUAAGUGAAAUACUUAUUUCUUUAUUGUUAUUAAAAAUUGCUUCGAGACACUGUAUAUGAAUAUUUUCAGGAGACCAGAUAAUAGAAUUAUAUUACAUUGAACAAUAAAUUACAUUCGAGAGUGGAGCGUACUAAGAAAAAAUAUAUUGUUUUUAAUAGUAAUAGGAUUUGAAAAAACCUUAUAUGUUCUAGUAAUAAAUCCAAGAAUGGAUGAAUUUUUUGAUUGAGAUAUUUAAACAAUUCCAAUUAAAAAAUAAAGUUGUGUCAAACGUAACACUUAAAAGAUAUAAAAAAAGAUAUUACUUUACAUUUAUCAAUGUUUUAGAAUAAAUUGUUUUGUUUACACCAGAUUGAUAGGGUAUUUUAGCCAUAGUACAAGAAAACAGAAUCAGAGAAUGAUUUAACUAACCGAAAAAAUUUCAUAUCAUCAGCGAAUAGAAGUUUAAGAGAGUUUAGAAAAUUUAAAUCAUAAAUAAACAAAAUGAAUAACACGGGAGCUAGAUGUGAGCCUUGUGAAACUCCUAAUAGAUUAUCAAAUUUGAGGUAAAAUAUUUUACUUUGAAUAUUUGCUUUUUAUUUCGGUAUAAGAAAUCGACUAAGAUAAAAAACGAUCACGGAAACCAAUAGAAUAAAGGCUUUUAGAGAGGAGAUGUGAUUAAUUUUAUCGAAGGCCUUUGAAAAAUCAGUAUAGAUAUCAUCUACUUGAUACUCUAAAUCCAAAAGCGUCCGAUAUAAAUUUCUGAAAUAUCACUAGAUUAGUAGUUGUGGAUUUAGCCAUUAAAAAUCCGUGUUGAUCAUUAUUAACUAUUGGGGAAAGUAUAGCAUACAUUUUUUUGUAAACAAUUGAUUCAAAUAUCUUAGAUAUUAUAGAGAUCUAGAACUUCAGUAAUACUAAACAGGCAUAAUUGUAAGUUAACUUCAGCUGAAUUAGUUUUGAAAAGAAGACGGAAUGGAAUUGGUGUAAUUAAAUUAUUAUCAUGAAUACCGGAAAAAUAACGAGCAAAAAAAUUAACAAUAUCUUUACCACCAAUUAAGAGACAUUUAUUAUAGAACAUUCUAUUAGGAAUGGAUGUACACGUUUUUAAUUUAUGAAUCUCCAAAAUAAUUUUGGAUUGGCAAUUAAAGAAUUUUAGGUUUUAAAAAUAUAAUUAUUGAAACCAAGUUUAGAUCUCAAUUUACAUUUAGCACGUAGUUUAGAGAAGGCAUUAUAAUUUUUUUGCGUAGUUUUCUUGAAAAGCAUAUGAGCAAUUUUUUUUAUAUAGAUUUAGUCCCUCAAAUUCAAACUAAACCAUAAAGGAAAUUUAUUUAUAAAAUAUAUAUUUUUACAAAAAACUAUCAAUAAUUUUUUGACAACAAUUUAAUCCAUUAAACACGAGUUUCCAAUUAAUAUUAGCUAAUGAUGGCCUUAUAAUAAACACAAUUAACAUAAUCAUAAAAAGUAUAAUUAAAGUCUAAUAGUUUAGUAACUUCAAAUAUAAUAAAUUUAAUUAGUAAUGCUGGGUGACACAGAUAUCAAUUGAAACCAAAGUUGAUAGUUCACAUUGAACAUCAAUAGCCGAGGGUACAGGCUAGUCUGCUACGUUGGUUUAUCGUAAUCGGUUAGAGUGCUAGGUCAAUGGUAGAGAUGAUGGAAUUAACGGAAAUCCGGCCCCUAUAUAUUUAUAAAUUGCCGUAGUCGACUGGAGUAGCAUACUUAUUGGCACCGUGGUGAUUAGUAUGCUAUAGCGCGUGGUUCUCUGUGUGUAGUAUGUGGGGAAACCGCAGUCUCGGAACGGUCUGUUUAAUCGCGUCCGUGUCAGCAGGGCGUGCGCUGUAUAUUAUGAAUUAUGUUAUGCACGGUAACGGCAGAACUGUACCGUUACAAAGAUUUUCGAAAUUUGGAAAAAUUCUGCAAAUGUCUCAAACGGAGGGCUAUAUUUUCUUGGAAAAUGAUUUUUCGGAAAAUAUUUUUUCGGAACCGUUCAAUGUAAUUUCAUCAUAAGCAUUUCGUGUUUGCAUGUUAUCGUCGUUAGGUAAAAAUUAUUUUCCGACAAAAUAAGUUUCCGAUAAAAUAUUAUCCGACUAAAUAUUUUUCCGAAAAAAAUCUUUUCNGUACAUCAAAAUGAAUAACAUUGAAAUUCCCCAAAUAAAAACAAAAGACAAAAAAAUACUUGUAUACUUUUAUAUACAGAGGUGGCCAAAAGCCGCGAAACAAAUUUGCUACACAAUUUUUAUAAAACUGUUGUGUUUUAUGUUAAAUAUGUUGUUUUUUUAUAAACCUUGCUGUUGUUGUACGUAAACAGGAUAACGAGACCAAAGUUGCAAUAUGACGUAACGGAAACGACGAGGAGGGAGAAACUGCGCCAUAACGCGCAUUCCAUACAAGACAGUAGACGUUGAGCGACUUGUGGCUACUUCUGUAGAUUAGGUGAAAUUACUAGAUACGAGUUCAUAAAAACCACGUGGAGAAGUAUAACUUCCGAUCGUGAACGAUAAUUCCCGAAUAAUUAACGAAUCCUCCACCAUCCACCGUAUGGCAGCGCUAAAAACUCUGUUGUCGUGUGCAAAGGCGAUUAUUUUCUGAAUAAAGUUUAAAAAUAAAAUAUGAUCGGACAAAUUGACGCGUUAACUUUUUUUAGACAAAUACUACUUGAGAGCAGUUGCAACGUUUUUUAAAUUAUCGAUUUUUAUCACGGUUUUACAAGUACUGUAACAUAAUACAGUUUUUCUAAAAAACAAUGAAAUCUACACUUGCGUCGUUAAUUACAAGUUCAGAAGUAAUAUAAUAUAUUAUAUUAUUAUAUAUAUUGUUUACAUAAAGCAUUGAAAAUUGAAAUCUACUUAAUAGUUUACUAAUUUUUGCAUGUCUAACCAGUAUAAUAAUAAUAAAAAUAAUAAUAUUUUAGCACUUGAUUACAUCGAUAGGACAAGUAAGUAUAGUUUGUUUAAUAACUCUUACAUUUUAAUGAGUAGAUUAGUAUUUUUAUUUUAACACAAAGAAGUAAAAAGGAAAAGGCCAGAUUAUGUAUUUUUAUUUUUUAAUCGAAAAACUUUAUAAAGUUUUAAAUAUAAUAAUUUUUCGCGAUCUUAUUAUGGCAUUAUGCACUCUACAUUUCCAUCGAGCCUAUUUCUGCCCAAAUGAUUAAUACUAUUUUAUUUAAAUGAAAAAAUGUCGAUUUAAGUAUUUAUUGCUUAUGAGCGUCACUAUUAAAUAGUAUUAACUAUAGUAAAUAAGUAUAAAUAUAUGAUUAUAUUUUAUAGGUGACGCAUAUGAUUAUGUUGAGCAUCUGAUGACUUUUGCGGAUUUUGAUGGUACUUUUACAUGAAUUAAUAAUUAUAAUAAUUUUAGACAAUCAUUGUUUUUCUCACUCAAACACGACAAUGAUAACAUGACUGACAGUUCGGAUGUCCAAAUGAAGAACAUUUAACCUGCAGAAUUCUGCCUCUAAAAAAAUUUGGCCUUUAUGAUAAGUAAUAUUAUAUAAGUGGCUACUGCCCUCAAUAAAAAAAAAAACUGUGGCUUCCGUCCAAUUUUUCCUAUAGGAAUCACGUGGCAUAGUGAAUAUUUUACAAGGGAUUUUCGGAACUCUAACUAGGUAUUUAAUUUACACUCUAAUUUUAUAUGUACAUUCAGUAUCAAUAACGGUCUAAUAUACUAUUACAUUAACGCAUACAAUUAUAAUGUAAUUAAAUAUUCAUGUAAUCUUUUAUUCUUAUUUGUAGAGAAUAAUGUCACGGAGUCACAGCCAAAAGAAUUUUGCAAAAGGGAGGAGAUGAAUAAAAUCAAACCAAUUUCAUCCCUACUCCCGGAUUAGAAUCCUGAUGAAACCUGACAAAGCAAAUUUAUAUUUCAUUUAUAUUGUAUGUUAAAUAUUAAUCUGCAUAUUUUUCUGUUAGUAGAUUAUAAUAUUAUUAUUAAAAAUAGUCAUAUUUAUCGUAAGCACAUAAAAGUGUAUUUACGGGUGUGAAUAUAUUUCACAAUAUUAUAUUGUUAAAAAAAAAUAAAUUCGAU